GCUCCUACUGUGUAACGUGUGUGUUUGGGAUGCUGCUGUGUCAGGCUUUACCCAGUGUGUGUGUGUGUGCGUGAGCGUGUGUUCGGUCAUCGUAGAGGGCUGACUGGGCUGUGCCGUGUGUGCGUAUUGAAAAGUUUACAGUGUAAGUCCAUGUUCUGUGUGUGCGUGUGUGUGUGUGUGUGUGUGUGACUGGCAGUCCUCCCUUUACUUUGCUGAUGUUUACAGCAACAGAAAAGCGACAUGACAUGUUUUUUUUUAAAAUUCA